UACAGGGGGUGCAAACGUUGCUCGGAAUUAUUGGGCGUAAAGCGCGCGUAGGCGGCUACUUAAGUCGGAUGUGAAAGCCCCUGGCUCAACUGGGGAAGUGCACCCGAAACUGAGUGGCUUGAGUGCGAAAGAGGGUCGCGGAAUUCCCGGUGUAGAGGUGAAAUUCGUAGAUAUCAGGAGGAACACCGAUGGCGAAGGCAGGUCUCUGGGCCAUAACUGACGCUGAGAAGCGAAAGCAUGGGGAGCGAACAGG
rnacentral:rRNA from 1 species